ensembl:lncRNA
GGAAGAAGCCCCUACAGAAUGACAGCCCCUAGGGAGCCUUCCCACCAUAGCCAAGAGCCUGCCCUGCACCUGCGGCUUUAGCUCCGUUACUCAGUCGUCGGGGGACUUCCCCCCAUUUAUUGAAUCAGAAAUACCAAAGGGCAGGAGAGGUUGGCAGAGUGUAAAGGCGUAUUUGGAGGCCCUUUGGAGGCAGCAGUGGGAGAGGGGAGGAGAGUCCAACCAAGGUUCUCAUAUUGGGAGAAUUCAGCUGCUAUGUCAUGAGGCAAUCCCAUGGAGAAGCCAUCAUGUGAACUUGGAAGUAGAUCUUCUGGGGUCCUCCAGAAGUCAUGUGAAUGUGCUUGGUAAUAGACCCCCUCCAGCUGAGCCUCAAGGUGACUACAGCCCUUGCCAACAUCUUGAGUUUAGCCUGGUGAGAUAUCCUGACCCAGAACCAUCCAGGAUGAAUCUUUUCUAUUCCUUUAUGAUUGGGUGACAAAAAUUAGAGAAAAAUGCCAAAAUGAACAACCCAGAAAGCUCAUCAAGUUUCCUGGAUCGUUAUGAAAACAACAACAACAACAACAAAAACCCUAUCAAUAACUUUGAGUUCGGAACAUAAUUGGUUGGUUCCCAAAAGUACAAUAAAAG